GGAUGCCAUGUUGCAGUUGGAUAAUAGGCACAAAGGAAGUGUGUUGAGUUGACUAGGUUUGGGAAUUUGUUAAGUGGGUACUAGGUAAAGUCCAGUUCUGCUGAAAGUAUAGUUUGAAUGAUUGGCAAAGGUGUUGAAGGUGGUCAGAGAAGUCAGCAAAGGCUGAUGGCCUGGGCCUUUUUUUUUUUUUUCAAGGUCUUACCUUAUUUUAAUUAGCCGUGCCAAAUAUGCAGAGACUCUGGUCUUAUGUAGCAGUUUUUCCUAUAAUUUUUCAUGGCUGAUUUUGUUUAGCUAGAGAAGCAUCUUUGAAAGCAAUCCUUGGAUUCCCCUCAUCUGUGUCACGUUGUUCACAGUGACCUAGACAGAGUUCUUUGACAUCCAAGUAAAAAUGUUUCUUAAAAAUUGAAAUAAUCUGCCAGACAUGUGGCACACAUCUAUAAUCCCAGUGAUUCAGGGGGCUGAGGCAGGAGGAUCACAAUUCAAGACCAGUAAGGGCAACUUAGAGAAACCCUGUCACAAAAUAAGAAUAGCUGGGAAGUAGCUCAGUGAUAGAGCAUCACUGGGUUCAAUCUCUAGUACCACAAAAAAUAUUAUAUAAAAAUUAAUAAAGUAGAUGCUUUGUGACAGGCACUAUUCUGGGUGCUAAACAAAUAUAUUAAUGCAUUUAAUUUUUAUCAUUGUCAUCUGAGGUAAGUACUGUUGUCCUCUUUUUAUUUAAGGAGAAAAUGGAGAUGCAGAGCAGUUAAGUAGCUUGUCCAGGAUUCUAGAACUGGGAGGUAAGCAGUGUAUUGUGGUGGUUAAGGACAGACUGUGGAACCAGAUGGCCAUAGUGAGGAUUAAAUGGAUCAGUAUAUGUAAUGCCCUUAGAACAGUGCUCAGUGAUUUCUGUCAGAUGAUCAACUAUCAUUGUGGUGGUGGUAAUGACUGGCAUUGUUAUUAAGAUUGUACUUGCUAAGAAAUCUUUAUCAUUUGAUGAAACACUUAUUUUCAUACUGAGUAGUAUGCUCUCUGCCCUUCAGGGUAGACUAUCCUUUUCUAAUAUGUUUUUGAUAUUAGAAAGUCUCACUUACACUGAGUAGAUUCCUUCUUUAACUUCCACUCUUUCAUUCAUGUCCAGUUCAUUGAAAAAUGAAGUCUUAUUCCUCAUUUUUAAGGUGUCCUCCUUAAAAAAUCAGAAAUUCUGAUUUUUCUCUGGUGUCUGCUUCUUGCUUCUAGAUUUUAGAAAUCUUGAGCAGUUCCUUCAGUUUACUCCCUCUGUGAAAUAAGUCAGUCAUUAUUUUGGCAACCAUGAUUUUCAGAAGAUUGUAAUCCCUUCAAGACUGUAUUUGCCUUCCUGGGUCAAAUAUGAGAGAUGGUCUAAUAUCAUGAGGUUUGCCAGUAAUAAAAAUUAAUACUAAUAUGGGCCAAGACGUUAUUUUCAGUGACUUACUCAUAAGUCCCUAUUACUUCCUUAAUUUUCCCUUUUGGAAUUUAGUUGCUCUUUGUUUUCUCCUGAUGAUCAGAAUUUUUUUUCUUAUUUGAAAUAAAUCCGGAUUUCCAGCUAACUAGCUGCUUGUUAAUUUUGUUAGCAUUGUUGCUUCAAAUGAUAUGUUUAUGUAAAAUGAUGCCUUUAGAUAUCAUAUUAGAGGAAUGCCUUGGAAGUAUUUUUAAUAGGUAAAAAAAUUAAAAUAUAUAAAAGGAAAUCAUACUUCACAGCUUUACAUAUUUUAAACUGAUUUGUUACUUGUUAUGAUAAGGAAUAUUCAAACGACAAAUCUUGGGAAUUUUUUUUUGUUUUCUUUAAAUAUAAAUAUAUAUUAUAAACUUCGUUACAAUAUGAGUGUGCAUACAUCCCCACACACAUCUGUUUGUUAUGUUUGGUUUAUACACUAUCAAAUUGAUUUAGGUUUUCUUAAAUGUAUCAUUCCUAGGGAAACAAAGACAAGAACCAGUUUGAUCCUUUCCUCAUUCCUCCUGCCCACAAAACUAUAAGUUAAAAGUAUGUCAUUUUUUUAAAGGAAAAAGUAACAAGAUUCAAAGAAUGAUCCAAAACUUCUUAUUACCUAAAUACUAACAAGCUUGACUUCUUUUUUCUACAGGAAGUUCUACCCAGAGAUAGAGAUUUAAAGUCAGGGAAACCAAGCAAUCCUUAAACUUUCCCCUUCCUCCUCUCUUUUUAACUGUGCUUCAUAGAAAAUCAGUAAAAGGACUCAAAAAAGAAAACUUCCUUUGUAAUACAUUCUGGAAUUGAUACUAGACUUAAAGUUUCACACUGUCUUGCCCCUGUAUUUAAGUUUUUGAAACUAACUAUUGAAAGCCACAAUGUGUUCCAAAAGGUUAGUAUCAUUUUUAGAAGUUGAAUAAAUAUUUGCAAAACAUUUCAAAAGUGACUCUUAGAUUUAUAUAUAGCCUGUUAGACAAAUAACACCAAGUAUCUGUGUCUUAUGCAUAUCAACAUACGCGCACACACACACACUGACCUGCCUUAUGAACUUUUUUUUUGUGUACUUAGGAUUAUAUUUAAUUUUCUGUCCAUUUUAGAUUUUCUUCCAUUUUCCCCUCCUCAGUUUCCUUACAUGGAUUGGUUGGAUUUUAUACUGAAAUACAACAUAUACAGGUCACACACAUAUCCA
rnacentral:lncRNA from 1 species